ACCCGCACAAGCGGUGGAUGAUGUGGAUUAAUUCGAUGCAACGCGAAAACCUUACCCACCUUUGACAUGGCAGGAAGUAUUUAGAGAUAGAUAUGUGCCCGAAAGGGAACCUGCACACAGGUGCUGCAUGGCUGUCGUCAGCUCGUGUCGUGAGAUGUUGGGUUAAGUCCCGCAACGAGCGCAACCCUUGCCAUUAGUUGCUACGAAAGGGCACUCUAAUGGGACUGCCGGUGACAAACCGGAGGAAGGUGGGGAUGACGUCAAGUCCUCAUGGCCCUUAUAGGUGGGGCUACACACGUCAUACAAUGGCUGGUACAGAGGGUUGCCAACCCGCGAGGGGGAGCUAAUCCCAUAAAGCCAGUCGUAGUCCGGAUCGCAGUCUGCAACUCGACUGCGUGAAGUCGGAAUCGCUAGUAAUCGCGGAUCAGAAUGUCGCGGUGAAUACGUUCCCGGGUCUU
rnacentral:rRNA from 1 species